CAGCCGCCGCGGGAAUACGUAGGUGGCAAGCGUUAUUCGGAUUGAUUGGGUGUAAAGGGUGUGCAGACGGCUCAUUAAGUCACUUGCUAAAUUCUUCGGCCUAACUGAAGGUCUGCAAGUGAUACUGAUAAGCUAGAGGGUGGAAGAGAGAAGUGGAAUUCUCGGAGUAGCGGUAAAAUGCGUAGAUCUCGAGAGGAACACCAAUGGCGAAGGCAGCUUCUUGGUCCAUUCCUGACGUUCAUACACGAAAGCGUGGGGAGCAAACAGGAUUAGAUACCCCCGUAGUCCCUGUCUCUUAUAC
rnacentral:rRNA from 1 species